rnacentral:rRNA from 1 species
AGCAGCCGCGGUAAUUCCAGCUCCAAUAGCGUAUAUUAAAGUUGUUGCAGUUAAAAAGCUCGUAGUUGAAUUUCGGGAUCAAUGUUUCGGUCAUGCCCUUGGUAUGUACUGAUAUUAUUGGUUUCUCACCUUCUAAAGAACCGUAAUGCCAUUAAUUUGGUGUCACGGGGAAUUAGGACUGUUACCUUGAAAAAAUUAGAGUGUUUAGAGCAGGCUCACGCUUGAAUACAUUAGCAUGGAAUAAUGAGAUAGGACAUCCGAUUCUAUUUUGUUGGUUUCUAGGAUCGAUGUAAUGAUUAAUAGGGAUAGUUGGGGGCAUUAGUAUUCAAUUGUCAGAGGUGAAAUUCUUGGAUUUAUUGAAGACUAACUACUGCGAAAGCAUUUGCCAAGGAUGUCUUCAUUAAUCAAGAACGAAAGUUAGGGGAUCGAAGACGAUCAGAUACCGUCGUAGUCUUAACCAUAAACUAUGCCGACUAGGGAUCGGAUGAUGUUAAUUUUUUAAUGACUCA